rnacentral:lncRNA from 1 species
CGCGCAGCCCCGCCGGCCCAGGCCCCGCCUCCCGCCGGGCGCGCUCCUCACCCCGCAGCCCCCAGCCCGCUUCCGCCUCGACGCCAGGAGGCUCCGGACUCGCCUGCCCGCGGCCUCCGGGCAGGUUUGUACCAGAGGACGAUAAAAUCCGUUGAGGUCAGCGACAGGGCAGGGCCCACCCCAAACCCUCUGUUCUGCCAGCAUUUGUAGAGUUUCCUGCGCUGAAGCAGAACUCCUGCCAGAAAAAGGGUUACUUUCCUCUUUGUGUCUGUCAUCUUCCCGCUCCCCUGGGAGCUCUGAACAUCUUCAGAACAGCCUCUGGGACUUCCUGGGAUGUCCCCUCCCUGGGACCCUAGGGUCGCAGGGCGCUGCGGGCUUUACUGGCGGAGUGUCCGCUCUGUUAGGAAUCAGGUGGAAAGACGACACGUAAUCUAAUCUCUUAUCCUAAUGAGUCACUGAGCUUGUUUUCCCUUUUUCCCUUUCAAAACUGUCAAGGGCGAGCAGAAUCCGCAAAGCUGGUCUCUCUCUGGACAGGAAUCCACCUUCUCCCCCAGAUUGCCGGCUUUUCUGACUAAAGCAUCUUUCUCUUCAGCAGACACACGCCCCUCCACUAUUGGCUCUAGGAGGGAAAAGCCCAGAAGAAACUCUCACCUACUCACACUCGACCACGCUGCUCAGGGCGCCGGCGGUGUGGGUGCUCUGGUUUAUUCUGAUUUUGUUCAGAAUUUCUCGCCCCUGAAUCUCCACUGGACACGAAAGCCGCUGUUAGGGUAAGACCGGAACCUCGACUCCAGGAAAUCUCGUCCUUCCGCCCCAGAAGAGGAGCCUGGGCCUCAGAUUCCAGCGUCUGAGGAGACCCCCCC